ensembl:lncRNA
GAGAACACAUCUGGGACUUUUUCGCGUUCUCAGUUUGAUGCGUACUUCGAAUUGGAACAGUACUUGGUCUCCGACUGAUGACGUAUCACGAGUACACGAGAACGCAAGUACGCACAAGUACGCAUAUUGAGAAACGGCAUUAGUCUCUCACUGAACGUGCUCCUGUGAUUAGCCAGCACAUCAUGGAGUGGGUGGGAGGUAUUAUCCAGCAUUGUCUUUAUCUUGGACAACAUCCGCUUCUCAGACACCACCCUAUGUGGUCGGAUCCACAAUCCGUCUUUUACAGUGGUGCAGAAACCCAGGAUUGUGACGUGGAGGAACCGCAACCAGGCCAGCCAGGGGAGGCGCUGGCCCAAAUGGUGGCCGAGCUCACCGCCACGCGGAGGAAGCAGGUGGUGGUGUUUCGCCACCAGUGGGAACAACGGCAGGACUGGACCGAGCCCUGGAUGCAGUGGAAAGAGCAUGGAAGGAAAAUGUCCAGAUUGAGAGGUGACUGUGUGGUGGUACCUAAGACUAAAUAUGCUGAGGAUUGCAUCAUUUUGAAUAUUUCCACAAUGAACCAACAAAAAUAUGUCAAGACUUCUGAACUGAGACUGAAUUCUUGAAUUCAGACAAUGAGCUGAGGACCCACCUAAACCACAACAACAGAUGAUUACCAUGGAGGGCCAGAUAUCAGCCACUUACAAUGUUCAGAGGUCUCAGAGAGGUUUCACCCUUAAGAGCAUGUAGUUACUGUAGUUCAACACAUGUAUCUGAUUCUGUCGUUAGCUUUUCAGACCCAUCCUUCAUGUAGCAUUUGGUAAUUUUAUGUGGCCAGGAAAACAUCAACUCAAAUCAAAGACAGUGUUACAGAACAUGUUUGAUAAGGGUAAAUUGUAAAUGAAAUACUUAGAAAUUAUAAUCCUAAAGAUUUUCAUUGACAUUAGACUAUUGAUGCCACAAACUCUCCUUUUUCUAACACUAAAAGCAGGUGUGUGUCAAAUAAAGUUAAAAAAAAAUCAAUGUAUUUUAAUAAGCUGAUACAUCAACAAUUGACAAUAGAACAAACAGAUCAAACAAUAAUCUCAAAAACUUUUUUGUAUUUGGUAUUUGCAAUUUGACCCACUGUGUUUCAGGCUGUUAUUAACAACAUCCUCAGAGACUUCAUUAAUCAUUUCGUGUUUGUUUACCUGGAUGAUAUCCUCAUAUUUUCUAAGUCUGUUACAGAACAUGAGGCUCAUGCCCACCAAGUCCUGCAGCGUCUCCUGGAGAAUUUUAUACUUUAUGUCAAGGGCGAGAAAUGUGAGUUCUAUGCCCAGUCUGUUUCUUCUCUUGGGUUCAUUGCUGAAAAACAUCAGUUUUAGACAGAUCCUGUCAAGAUUAAGGCAGUGGUAGAGUGGCCUGGAUGACUUAAUAGGAAACAACUUCAAAGGUUCCUUGGAUUUGCUCAUUUUUACAGACGCUUCAUUCGUGACUUUAGAGUUCAGGCAAGUUAACGGUAAUGUGAUUACCUUUAACUCAUCUGCAGAACAAAGCUAUUAAGUUGGUGACUGGGAGCUGCACACCAUUAAGUUGGUUGGUUGAAGGGGAAGAGCAUCCACUAGUUGUUUGGACAGGCCACCAAUAUCUCACCUACCUGCAGACCAUUUAAUGCCUGAAUGGAUGUCAGCUCAGUGAGGCGGGAAACGAGAGAAGGGAAGGAUGGAAAGCUGGGACCAGCGCUGACCAGACUGUGGGCUGUUGUAUAAAAACCAAAAUAAACUUGACAUCUGUGAGCACAACCAUUGUGUGCGUGGAGUGCAUUCUUCAAUCUGUAAUUGUAAACAAACAGACGGAGCCUCGUUUUCUUGGAACCACUGCUAACCAAGAAAAGAAUACAUUUUCUCAAAGCUCAGAUCUCACAGAUUCCAAAACUGCAAGUCACGCUCCAACCAAAAUCCACUGAACCAGCCACAAAGGAAGACCACAAAUAUGUUUGAUGCAUGAUAAACAAUAACGUAAAAUCAGACUUAGUGCUUUUGUUCCUUCAAUUACAGAGACAUCCAUUCUACACUACAGCUCAUUUCCUGACUAACUCAAUCUCCUACAAUGCCCCAGAGCCAUUUCCCAUUUAAAAAAUCACUAUUUUCUGCCCAGUUACAGACAUUUUAUUGGACAAGGGCAAGCGUCAUCUUCUGAUUGGUGGAACUGACCUAAACACGGUGACAUUAAUGUGAUUUUGUUGACUCAAAUGAUAAAAAGAGCGGUCAGUCAUGUAAAUUGGGCAAUAGAAGCCGAAGUUACAGAGAUUAAAGGGAAAAGAGACAUUUCCAAACCUUAAUUAGACAGAGGAAAAAACAGGCCAAAUGUACCUCAGCGUGUGGGUACUUCUUAAAUAAAAAUAAUGGAAAAACAAGCAUUUUUAGGCAUGCAAAUAAAGUUAAAUCAUUUCUGCUGUUCAAUACCUAAAAAAUUUCAACUGACAGAUGGUGCCAACAUUUGCCAAAUGGCAAAACACCUGAGUAUCUAUUCAUUAAAAGUUCUGUUCUGUAAUUUUUCACUGUUUUGAUUCAGAGGUAUGCAUCUUUGCACAGACAAUGUUUUUCCUAUGUUGAUUACUGGUUUUCUGGAGUUUAUUGUCUACUGAAGCAUAUUUUCAAAGUGGUUAUAUGAAUUAAAAUCCCAAAAUAAAGGAUAAAGGAAAAAAUCGACUUUUUCUAUGUUCCAG